UACGUAGGGCGCGAGCGUUGUCCGGAAUUAUUGGGCGUAAAGAGCUCGUAGGCGGCCGGUUGCGUCUGCUGUGAAAUCCCGGGGCUUAACCCCGGGCGUGCAGUGGAUACGGGCCGGCUGGAGGCAGGCAGGGGAGAAUGGAAUUCCCGGUGUAGCGGUGAAAUGCGCAGAUAUCGUGAGGAAGACCAGUGGCGAAGGCGGAUCUCUGGACAGUUCCUGACGCUGAGGCGCGAAGGCCAGGGGAGCAAACGGG
rnacentral:rRNA from 1 species